rnacentral:rRNA from 1 species
UACGUAGGGUGCAAGCGUUAAUCGGAAUUACUGGGCGUAAAGCGUGCGCAGGCGGUUGUGUAAGUCUGUCGUGAAAUCCCCGGGCUCAACCUGGGAAUUGCGAUGGAGACUGCACGGCUAGAGUGUGUCAGAGGGGGUAGAAUUCCACGUGUAGCAGUGAAAUGCGUAGAUAUGUGGAGGAACACCGAUGGCGAAGGCAGCCCCCUGGGAUAACACUGACGCUCAUGCACGAAAGCGUGGGGAGCAAACAGG